rnacentral:rRNA from 1 species
GAACGGUGCAAGCGUUACUCGGAAUUACUGGGCGUAAAGCGUGCGUAGGUGGUUUGUUAAGUCUGUCGUGAAAGCCCCGGGCUCAACCUGGAAUGGCGAUGGAUACUGGCAGGCUAGAGUGCGGUAGAGGAGAGUGGAAUUCCCGGUGUAGCAGUGAAAUGCGUAGAGAUCGGGAGGAACAUCAGUUGCGAAGGCGGCUCUCUGGACCAGCACUGACACUGAGGCACGAAAGCGUGGGGAGCAAACAGGAUUAGAUACCCUGGUAGUCCACGCCCUAAACGAUGCGAACUGGACGUUGGGAGCAACUAGGCUCUCAGUGUCGAAGCUAACGCGUUAAGUUCGCCGCCUGGGGAGUACGGUCGCAAGACUG